GCACCCCCUGGGAACGGACCGAUUCCACCGGCGCCAAGGGCGGCGGCGGCGUCAUGUCGAUGAUGAAGGGCCGGGUGUUCGAGAAAGUCGGGGUGCA
rnacentral:tRNA from 1 species